rnacentral:rRNA from 1 species
AGUGAACGCUGGCGGUAGGCCUAACACAUGCAAGUCGAACGGCAGCACAGUAAGAGCUUGCUCUUACGGGUGGCGAGUGGCGGACGGGUGAGGAAUACAUCGGAAUCUACUUUUUCGUGGGGGAUAACGUAGGGAAACUUACGCUAAUACCGCAUACGACCUACGGGUGAAAGCAGGGGAUCUUCGGACCUUGCGCGAUUGAAUGAGCCGAUGUCGGAUUAGCUAGUUGGCGGGGUAAAGGCCCACCAAGGCGACGAUCCGUAGCUGGUCUGAGAGGAUGAUCGGCCACACUGGAGCGGAGACACGGUCCAGACUCCUACGGGAGGCAGCAGUGGGGAAUAUUGGACAAUGGGCGCAAGCCUGAUCCAGCCAUACCGCGUGGGUGAAGAAGGCCUUCGGGUUGUAAAGCCCUUUUGUUGGGAAAGAAAAGCAGCAGGUUAAUACCCCGCUGUUCUGACGGUACCCAAAGAAUAAGCACCGGCUAACUUCGUG